GAUGAACGCUAGCUACAGGCUUAACACAUGCAAGUCGAGGGACGCGCGCACGGGUGAGAAACACGUAUCCAACCCUCCCUGUACUCGGGGAUAGCCUUUCGAAAGAAAUAAUAAUACCUGAUAUAAAGGAUGGGGAUGGGUUACAUUAGGAUGUUGGUGAGGUAACGGCCCACCCAGCCUUCGAUGGAUGGGGGUUAUGAGAGGAAGGUCCACCACAGUGGAACUGCGACACAGUCCAAACUCGUACUGGAGGGAGCGGUGAGGAGUAUUGGUGCAUGGACGUUAGCCUGAACCAGCCACGUAGCGUGAGGGAUGAAUGGUUAUGGAUCGUAAACUUCUUGUAUAUAAGAAUAUGUAUUAGAUGAAUAAGGAUCGGCUAACUCCGUGCCAGCAGCCGCGGUAAUUC
rnacentral:rRNA from 1 species